GACGAACGCUGGCGGCGUGCCUAACACAUGCAAGUCGAACGGAGCAGAUCCCUUCGGGGGUUUGCUUAGUGGCGAACGGGUGAGUAACGCGUGAGGAACCUGCCUUACAGAGGGGGACAACAGUUGGAAACGACUGCUAAUACCGCAUAACAUUUGAGGGUGGCAUCACUCUUGAAUCAAAGGAGCAAUCCGCUGUAAGAUGGCUUCGCGUCCGAUUAGACAGUUGGCGGGGUAACGGCCCACCAAAUCUACGAUCGGUAGCCGGACUGAGAGGUUGAACGGCCACAUUGGGACUGAGACACGGCCCAG
rnacentral:rRNA from 1 species